CCUCAGUGUUUAGACUACCUGUU
rnacentral:miRNA from 1 species